UGACUGCUUGUGACUGUCUGCAUGUAACUUUGUGUGUGACUGCCUGUAACUGACUGUGUGUGUAACUGCCUGUAACCGUGUGUGUGUGGCUGUAACUAUGUGUUUGACUGUCUGCCUGUGACCGUGUGUGUGACUGUGUAUAUGUGACUGUCUGUGUGUAACUGCUUGUAACUGACUGUGUGUGUGUAACUCUCUACCUGUAACUGUGUGUAUUACUGCCUGUGACUAUAUUUGUGACUGUCUGCAUGUGACUGUGUGAGUGUGACUGUCUGCUUGUGACUGUCUGCCUGUAACGGUGUGUGAGGGGGUGCAGGGAUUUUGUAG